rnacentral:rRNA from 1 species
GAUGAACGCUGGCGGCGUGCCUAAUACAUGCAAGUCGAGCGAACGGACGAGAAGCUUGCUUCUCUGAUGUUAGCGGCGGACGGGUGAGUAACACGUGGAUAACCUACCUAUAAGACUGGGAUAACUUCGGGAAACCGGAGCUAAUACCGGAUAAUAUUUUGAACCGCAUGGUUCAAAAGUGAAAGACGGUCUUGCUGUCACUUAUAGAUGGAUCCGCGCUGCAUUAGCUAGUUGGUAAGGUAACGGCUUACCAAGGCAACGAUGCAUAGCCGACCUGAGAGGGUGAUCGGCCCAACUGGAACUGAGGCACGGUCCCGACUCCUACGGGGAGCAGCAGUAGGGAAUCUUCCGCAAUGGGCGAAAGCCUGACGGAGCAACGCCGCGUGAGUGAUGAAGGUCUUCGGAUCGUAAAACUCUGUUAUUAGGGAAGAACAUAUGUGUAAGUAACUGUGCACAUCUUGACGGUACCUAAUCAGAAAGCCACGGCUAACUACGUG